ACGGGGUGCAGCAGGCGCGAAGACUUCGCAAUGCGCGAAAGCGUGACGAGGUUAGCCCGAGUGCCGUCCGCUGAGGAUGGCUUUUCUUUGGUGUAAGGAGCCAGGGGAAUAAGAGGAGGGUAAGUCUGGUGUCAGCCGCCGCGGUAAUACCAGCUUCUCGAGUGGUGGGGGCGAUUAUUGGGCCUAAAGCGUCCGUAGCCCGCUUGUUAAGUCCUCCGUUAAAUCCGGCGAUUCAAUCGCUGGACCGCGGAGGAUACUGGUAAGCUAGGGGGCGGAAGAGGCUGGCGGUAUUCUUAGGGUAGGGGCGAAAUCCUAUAAUCCUAGGAGGACCACCAGUGGCGAAGGCGGCCAGCUAGAACGCGCCCGACGGUGAGGGACGAAAGCUGGGGGAGCAAACCGGAUUAGAUACCCGGGUAGUCCCAGCUGUAAACGAUGCAGACUAGGUGUUGGAACGGCUACGUGCCGCUUCAGUGCCGCAGAGAAGUCAUUAAGUCUGCCGCCUGGGGAGUACGGCCGCAAGGCUGAAACUUAAAGGAAUUGGCGGGGGAGCAC
rnacentral:rRNA from 1 species